UGAGAGGCUACCUACCACUGAAGGUGAGUGGAUAUAUUUGAAUUGGCCCACAACCUAGAAUUAAUAAUAAUUUCCAGGCAUGGUGGUACACACCUGUAAUCCCAGCAGCUCAGGAAGCUGAGGCAGAAGGAUUGCAAGUUCAAAGCUAGUCUCAGACACUAAGCAAUUCGGCAAGACCCUGUCUCAAAAUAAAAAAUCAAAUGGAUUGGGGAUGUAGCUUAGUAGCUAAGUGCCCCGGUUCAAUCCCUAGUACCAGAUAAAUAAAUAAUAAUGAUAAUCACCUUAAUCAUCUGAAUGGUGUUGUCUGUAGUUUUCUCCAGUGUCUGUGUAUUGUGUAAUAAAAAAUGCUUUCCUAUAUCUAGUAAUUUAGAUCCAAAUCUUACCUGAUUUUUGAAGCUGUGGGAUAUCUCAGUCUGUGAUUAUUGGAGUUUAGUUUUAUUUCUGUAUGUUAAAAUGGGAAGGGAGCGAGGCUUAGCGUGUACCUAGUGUGGAGAAAAAAAAUACAUAGGUCCUGCUUCCCACUUAGCAGCAUCUUCUCCAUUCACCUGUCCCAGUUCCUGGUGAGUCUCCCUGCAGAGCAACAGCAAUAAUUCCCUUCAUUACUUGCUCUCUAGCUUGUUUUCCAGGCUUCUUUAAUUCUUCCUUUGAAUUUCCCUCCUCUCUUGUCCUUUCCCUCUUUCCUCAUUCAGAAUGCUUCUAUAUUUUCAAAUCCUCAUCUCCCUCCAAAAAUGGACAGUACUGUUUUACAAGACUAAGAAUUACUUGAAAAGGAAGGAAAAAAGAAAAGAAAAUCCCACGUGCAACCUUUGACUCUUUCAGAAAGGAUCAGCCUGGAUACUCAUCAAUGUCUCAUUUUUUAAGGUGUUUGAGUCUGUAAGGAACUCAGAAACCUUGCAGGGGCAACCAUUUGCAUGUCCAGUGUGAAGCACAGAAAAGGUUAGUGAACGUCUACCAUUGAGGAGCUGGAAGCUUUGAGGAUGUCUACCCAACUGAGCAGCUCCUACCUGUUGGCAGCUAUGUUUGUAUUGCUUAAAUCUUCCUAUGCCUAUAGCUGAUUGGACCAAGGAAGAACAUCCAUGGUCCAAACUGAAC
rnacentral:lncRNA from 1 species